rnacentral:rRNA from 1 species
GAUGAACGCUGGCGGCGUGCCUAAUACAUGCAAGUCGAGCGAACAGACGAGGAGCUUGCUCCUCUGACGUUAGCGGCGGACGGGUGAGUAACACGUGGAUAACCUACCUAUAAGACUGGGAUAACUUCGGGAAACCGGAGCUAAUACCGGAUAAUAUAUUGAACCGCAUGGUUCAAUAGUGAAAGACGGUUUUGCUGUCACUUAUAGAUGGAUCCGCGCCGCAUUAGCUAGUUGGAAAGGUAACGGCUUACCAAGGCAAAGAUGCGUAGCCGACCUGAGAGGGUGAUCGGCCACACUGGAACUGAGACACGGUCCAGACUCCUACGGGAGGCAGCAGUAGGGAAUCUUCCGCAAUGGGCGAAAGCUUGACGGAGCAACGCCGCGUGAGUGAUGAAGGUCUUCGGAUCGUAAAACUCUGUUAUUAGGGAAGAACAAAUGUGUAAGUAACUAUGCACGUCUUGACGGUACCUAAUCAGAAAGCCACGGCUAACUACGUG